UACGUAGGUGGCAAGCGUUGUCCGGAAUUACUGGGCGUAAAGGGCGUGUAGGCGGCUAUUUAAGUCAGGCGUGAAAACUUAGGGCUUAACCUUGAGACUGCGUUUGAAACUGGAUGGCUAGAGGAUCGGAGAGGGCAGUGGAAUUCCCAGUGUAGCGGUGAAAUGCGUAGAUAUUGGGAGGAACACCAGUGGCGACGGCGGCUGCCUGGACGACACCUGACGCUGAGGCGCGAAAGCUAGGGGAGCAAACGGG
rnacentral:rRNA from 1 species